AUCCAUCUAGUCAGUAAUAACAAUAGGAGGAAAGGACAACGUAGCAAACAAAGCAGCUUAAUUAUAAUGCUUCAAACGACAACUAUACCAUUACCAAACUUUAUUUUUAUAAUAGAAAUAUAACUGGUUUUGCCAUUCCAUUUCGAAAAUUUACUAUUUGACUACAUUUAAUCGAAAACCCACUAUAACUCCUUAAAACCGAUAUCCUCAUUAAGGA